CACUGAUCUCUCCGUGAUCAUAGGGGCCAUGUAUGCAGCCGUAUUAUUUGUGGGAAUCAACAAUUGCUCAACAGUACAACCAAUUGUAGCAGUUGAAAGAACAGUAUUUUAUCGCACAAGAGCAGCUGGGAUGUACUCUGCAAUCCCUUAUGCCUUAUCACAGGUAUUUGUCGAGAUAGCAUAUGUGCUUGUCCAAACCAUAUACUACACUCUUAUAGUGUAUGCAAUGGUGUGCUUCGAAUGGACAGCUGCAAAAUUCUUCUGGUUCUUCUUCAUAACAUUUUUCUCCUUCCUCUACUUCACAUACUACGGAAUGAUGACUGUGUCAAUCACACCAAACCAGCAAGUAGCCGCCAUUUUUGCAGCUGCAUUUUACGCGCUCUUCAAUCUCUUCUCCAGUUUCUUCAUCCCCAAACCAAAAAUUCCUAAGUAG